rnacentral:rRNA from 1 species
UCCAGACUCCUACGGGAGGCAGCAGUGAGGAAUAUUGGUCAAUGGGCGGGAGCCUGAACCAGCCAAGCCGCGUGAAGGAAGAAGGCGCCAAGCGUCGUAAACUUCUUUUGUCGGGGAACAAAGGGCGCCACGUGUGGCGUUGUGAGUGUACCCGAAGAAAAAGCAUCGGCUAACUCCGUGCCAGCAGCCGCGGUAAUACGGAGGAUGCGAGCGUUAUCCGGAUUUAUUGGGUUUAAAGGGUGCGCAGGCGGAAUGUCAAGUCAGCGGUAAAAUUUCGGGGCUCAACCCCGUCGUGCCGUUGAAACUGGCGUUCUUGAGUGAGCGAGAAGUAUGCGGAAUGCGUGGUGUAGCGGUGAAAUGCAUAGAUAUCACGCAGAACUCCGAUUGCGAAGGCAGCAUACCGGCGCGCAACUGACGCUCAUGCACGAAAGCGUGGGUAUCGAACAGGAUUAGAUACCCUCGUAUC